rnacentral:pre_miRNA from 1 species
CUUGUACUCCCUCCGUCCGGAAUUACUUGUCGUGAAAAUGAAUAAAAAUAGGUGUAUCUAAAACUAAAAUACAUCUAAAUACAUUCAUUUCUCCAACAAGUAUUUCCGGACGGAGGGAGUAAUUU